rnacentral:lncRNA from 1 species
AGUUCCAGGAUCACUAAAAAAUUCAAUACUGCGUCCACACAACACACACAUACAGUAUCACGAGGAGUUUUGACUCCUGAAGCCAAUGCAGCUUCAAUUGGAAUAUCGUUGAACUGACUCCCGCUACUCUCGGCGUUCAUCGGAUGGUAGAUGCUCUGAAGCGUUCCCUUCAGCUCUCACAAGGCAGACUGCGAUAACUCAUUGAAGCUAUGGUUAGCGGCAAAAUGAAAAGCUGUUUCGCGCUGUGAUUGUCAGAAAUUCGAUAAAACUUUCAGCCUUGUAAAUCCUCACAAAUGACACAGUUCUCGAUUUGAGGCAAGGAAGCUGUAGGAACUUCCAAUGCGUGACGGACAUGGCUUCGAAUUGUAUGCACGAAGGACUUCAUCCCGAAAUUGUCAAGACCGCUUGAGGCCGUCGCAUCCAGCAACUUAGCCUCGCUGCUCUAGCACAGAGCUGAUCGUAUAAUUGUCAGUUAGAAUGUGAAGUCUCAGGAUGCGAAUGAGCUUAGCCAAACCCCUUUGAUGGCUUGUUUAACUCAGCACCAUUGUUUGUUGCACCUGAUGUAAAACAAUUUGAGGACUCUGUGUCAACAUGAAAGUUUCUGCGUUGCGUAGGCAAUCACUUACAACUAGAACCAUGGGAACUGGUUAGGCACCCUGCGUUGCGCACACGGGAGGAUAUUCUACGUGUAUAUCUCCGAGAGACAGAAGACAACCAAUUUGCGCGGAUUUUCGCGUUGCAUGACAUCUUCAACGAUAGUCAGAAAUCUACGGAUGAUUGCGCGGAAUUGCGCACGUCCUCGUAUUUUGGCAAGGGAUGCGUCUUACUUACCGAAAGAAGGCCGAAAGGGCAGGCUUACUCUUCAGAAGAU